UUUUUAAAAGGAGUUUUUGCUCUAUAUUUAGUGUUUAUUUUAUUUUUGCUGCACCAUUUUCCACAUUAACGAGCCUCUUUCUUCCUGCAGGAAGAAAAACAUUCCCACAGCAUGAUUCUGCCACCUGUGUGUUUCAUCAUAGAAAUUUAAUUUUUAUAAGCAUGUUUAUUUUUACUUAUUUAUUUGACCACAUUCAGUUUCCAUGUUGGUUCAGUUUCAUUCUGAUCUGACCAGAAGAUCUUUUGAUUUUUUUUUGUGUCCCCCACAUGGCUUAUGGCAAACUGAGAACUGAACUUUUUUUUUAACCUCCCUCUUCCAUAAAGGCCAGAUUUAAAGUGUGUGCGGUUGUAAGUUGCCAUGUCAACAGAUUAUCCCUUCCUUUCAGCCUCCACUUUGAGACACAUAAGUAUUCGUAUGGCUUUUUGGUAAACCUGGGAUACAAACUUGGAGGGGGAAAAAAUGGGAAUCUCCAAAAUCAAAAAGCUCUUUUUAUGAAGAAACAGUAAGAGACCUCUUCAUCAUCCCCUCCUCUUCCUUCUCUUUCUAAUAGUCUUAAUUGAGCUCUAAUACCAAGUCCUCCUCUGCCCUCCUAAUUUCCUCCACCAUCCCUCCAAGCUUCCCCGACGAGGUCCCAGCCUAUCUGACACCCAGAUUGCAACAUGUGCAACCAGCUCACACACAAAGGUCGCAGCAGCUCCCUGAUGCAGCGCCGGUGAUGUCUCUCUCAUUCACAGAGCAGAUAAAAGUCCGGAGGCCAUGCCACUAAUUAACUGCAGUGAGCUCCGAAAGGCUGCAGCGCCAACAGGGCUAAAGAUCCUCUCUGCUCCACAACCUACUGACAGGAUCCCGUCACAUGCUCGAUGAAAGCUUUUAAUAAGGCAAAUGGGGGAACAAUAAAAGGAGCCAGAGAUGAAGCCAGGGGGCAACUGCUGGGAUUUGGAGUGAACACUGGAACGGGAGAGAUCAUCUACCCGUUGUCAAAGUUAAAGGGUCACUUCCCAUCACACCUCCUGUCUUCUAUUUCACCUGAUUUCCUGGGCUGAGCAGCAUCAAAGCAUCUCCUGGAUCAACUCAAUAAAGGAGUUCCCUCUGAUCGUGGCACUUCUGCUUCGGAGAACUCUGGAAGCUCUUUCAUGUCUUCACGACAGACAGCAGCUUCAGCAGAAUGAAGGCUUAAAGAUAUAUUUCAAAUGAAAAAAUGCACAGCUGAGUUUAUAUCUGAUGGCAGUUGCAAAAGCUUCAAGCAGCCAUAAACUGGUUUUUGACACGCUGUGCUCUCACGUUGAGAUAAACUGUCGGUAGUGAAGUUUCGACUCAAGGUGAGAAUACUACAUGGUUGCUACAGAUCAUUUAGUGGUUUAAUGAAAUGGGUUAGGGUUUAGUUGCUCUUAGUCAGAAUCCUAACCCUUCUCCUGAAGUUCAUUUACAUUGUAAGAACCUAGCAGGGGCAGCUUAGCCUUCUGGAUAAUAAGAAUAUGCAAACUCCUGAAAUGCCCUCCAACCUCUGAUUCUUCAGAGAGGUGAAGCUGUCAAGGUUAACUGGAAAGAGACUGACUUUGCCUGAAACUAAGACUGUACACAUCAGGUACGCUGAUGUGUUCAUGAUUGAUGCUAAAGAUUCAUGUUUACACUGUUGUGGUCAAGGAAAAGCUGAGUCAAGCUCUGAACCUAACUUUCCACUUAUGUCCUAACCCUCACAUAUGGUCAAGAGAUAUGGGUCAUAGACAAAGGAACACAGAUCCACCACAAGUAAUUUAAAGAGCUUGUGUCAUAUAGCGUAGCUGGGUGAGGAAGUAUACUUUGAACCUUUAGGGUGAGUUCGGAGUAACACAACUGAGAAUAUUUGGGCAUUGGAAUGGGAUGAUUCCUGGGUGGUGUCCUCUGGAUGUGUUAUAGACAUACUGCACCUUGUGCAGACCCUGGAUCAGACUAGGAGCUCACUGGAGGGGCUAUGCAUCCCUUUGUGGUUUGGUUUGGUUUGGUUUGGUUUGGUUUGAUUUGGUUUGUAGUUUCCAUUUUGCGGCCGACCUACCUCUACCUACUUCCACUUAUCUACCUCUACCUACCUAUUUCUGCCUACCUACCUCCAUGUCUACUCUAAUGGCCUAAUAAAUCCCUCUUUUCACACCAUCCUACUUCUCUGGUUAUAAAGUGUUUUUUAAUCUCUCUCUUCUUCCUCCCGCUGCAAAUUCAGUUUUCUCUCCUUUUUCUCAAAGUUGCUCUUUCCUCCUCUUUGGUCUUCUGCCAAGCCUUUCCCCACUCGCCAUUCUUCCAACUUUCUACCAUCCUCCUCAUCUCAUUCUCUCUAUCCUUUCCUUCUUUUUUCGACUGUCGGCCUCCUCCCUGCUGCCCCACAUAAACCUCUAUUCUUUUUUCCCCCUCCUAUUACACACUGUUAUUGCUCUCUCUGGGUCCAGCAUCCAGAAUACAACACAGAGAAAACUGGAAUAAGAGUCAAGUUUGCUCCUUCGGCACACGAACUGGAGCAUUUUGGGAGAGAUUAGUGGAAGGCAAAACAAAAACGCCUCUUGUCAAUCUGACUUAUAAUUCCAUUAAAAACUGCACAAGUGGUGGUUUACUUUGAGAAAAUAAGCCUCAAUAAUUGCCCUCAGCAGUGGCAUUUAUGGCUGUGCGUGUAUGCAGUGCAGAAACAUAAAAGCAAUAGUUUAAUUACAACACACAUUGUUUUCACAUGUGUGCUUAUUUUUUUCGUAAUGAAUGUGUCGAGCUGCAGGUGUUUGUGUGUUCCUUCAGCGCUGGCUGCCAGUCUCUGCUCCUGGUUUUUGGCACCUGCUGCGCAAGUUUUGAUUUAGACAAAAGACCACGGAAAGCUGGAGCUGGACCCUGCUGACUCCUGAAUCUUUUUGACAAAAAAAAAAAAGAUGCUUAUGGAGUACAUACACACAUUUAUAUAUACAGGCAACAAUGAGGCUGGAAGAAGUCACACUGCUGCAAGAGAUGAGAAAUCUGAUGGGGAAAUAGGAGAGUGUGUGAGCGAUUAUGGAAGUGAUUCGUACAUGAUGAGCAGGAGUGACUGCAGCAGAUGUUGACUGUCCUCUGUGAGCCAUGCAGAUGCAGAAAUGUCUCACGCAUGCACGCACACACACACACACACACACCAUGUCUUUCUAUCUUUGAAGUUUGUGAAAAAAACAGAACAAAAGCAGAAGAAGAAGCAGAAAGUCGUGUGUGUAUGUACAAACACACUCGAAGCAUUUGGUCAUAGAACUUCAACGCAAACAGAUUCUGUCUCUUCGGUUUGCGUAAUACUAAAUACAUGUCAUGCAAAGAGAAGAACAAAAAAAAAAAAUUAAAAUUAAAA